CACAAGCGGUGGAUGAUGUGGUUUAAUCGAUGCAACGCGAAAACCUUACCCACCUUUGACAUGGCAGGAAUCCUGAAGAGAUUUGGGAGUGCUCGAAAGAGAACCUGCACACAGGUGCUGCAUGGCUGUCGUCAGCUCGUGUCGUGAGAUGUUGGGUUAAGUCCCGCAACGAGCGCAACCCUUGCCAUUAGUUGCUACGAAAGGGCACUCUAAUGGGACUGCCGGUGACAAACCGGAGGAAGGUGGGGAUGACGUCAAGUCCUCAUGGCCCUUAUGGGUAGGGCUUCACACGUCAUACAAUGGUCGGUACAGAGGGUUGCCAAGCCGCGAGGUGGAGCCAAUCCCAGAAAGCCGAUCGUAGUCCGGAUUGUUCUCUGCAACUCGAGAGCAUGAAGUCGGAAUCGCUAGUAAUCGCGGAUCAGCAUGUCGCGGUGAAUACGUUCCCGGGUCUU
rnacentral:rRNA from 1 species